rnacentral:rRNA from 1 species
UACGUAGGGGACGAGCGUUGUCCGGAAUUACUGGGCGUAAAGGGCGCGCAGGCUGCGCGUCGAGUCGGCUGUCAAAGAUCCGGGCUUAACCCGGUGAAGCGGUCGAGACCGACGUGCUGGAGUGCUGCAGAGGCAAGUGGAAUUCCCAGUGUAGCGGUGAAAUGCGUAGAUAUUGGGAAGAACAUCGGUGGCGAAGGCGACUUGCUGGCCAGUAACUGACGCUGAGGUGCGAAAGCCAGGGUAGCAAACGGG